GAUGAACGCUGGCGGCGUGCCUAAUACAUGCAAGUCGAGCGAACAGAUGAGGAGCUUGCUCCUCUGACGUUAGCGGCGGACGGGUGAGUAACACGUGGAUAACCUACCUAUAAGACUGGGAUAACUUCGGGAAACCGGAGCUAAUACCGGAUAAUAUAUUGAACCGCAUGGUUCAAUAGUGAAAGACGGUUUUGCUGUCACUUAUAGAUGGAUCCGCGCCGCAUUAGCUAGUUGGUAAGGUAACGGCUUACCAAGGCGACGAUGCGUAGCCGACCUGAGAGGGUGAACGGCCACACUGGAACUGAGACACGGGCCAGACUCCUACGGGAGGCAGCAGUAGGGAAUCUUUCGAAAUGGGCGAAAGCUUGACGGAGCAACGCCGCGGGGGUGAUGAAGGGCUUCGGAUCGGAAAACUCGGUUGGUAGAGAAGAAAGUUGGUGAGAGUGGAAAGCUCAUCAAGUGACGGUAACUACACAGAAAGCGACGGCUAACUACGUG
rnacentral:rRNA from 1 species